rnacentral:rRNA from 1 species
UACGUAGGGCGCAAGCGUUAUCCGGAAUUAUUGGGCGUAAAGAGCUCGUAGGCGGUUUGUCGCGUCUGCCGUGAAAGUCCGGGGCUCAACUCCGGAUCUGCGGUGGGUACGGGCAGACUAGAGUGAUGUAGGGGAGACUGGAAUUCCUGGUGUAGCGGUGAAAUGCGCAGAUAUCAGGAGGAACACCGAUGGCGAAGGCAGGUCUCUGGGCAUGACCUGACGCUGAGGAGCGAAAGUGUGGGGGAGCGAACAGG